rnacentral:rRNA from 1 species
UACGUAGGGGGCAAGCGUUGUCCGGAAUCAUUGGGCGUAAAGCGCGCGUAGGCGGCCCGGUAAGUCCGCUGUGAAAGUCAAAGGCUCAACCUUUGAAUGUCAGCGGAUACUGCCGGGCUAGAGUCCGGAAGAGGCGAGUGGAACUCCUGGUGUAGCGGUGGAAUGCGCAGAUAUCAGGAAGAACACCAACGGCGAAGGCAGCUCGCUGGGACGGAACUGACGCUGAGGUGCGAAAGCGUGGGGAGCAAACAGG